CCUACGGGAGGCAGCAGUGGGGGAUAUUGCACAAUGGGGGAGACCCUGAUGCAGCGACGCAGCGUGAGUGAAGAAGUAUUUCGGUAUGUAAAGCUCUAUCAGUAGGGAAGAAAAUGACAGUACCUGUCCAUGAAGCCCCGUCUAACUACGGGACAGAAGCCGCGGUAAUGCGUAGGCAGCCAGCGUUAUCCGGAUUUACUGGGUGUAAAGGGAGCGUAGAUGGUUAUGUAAGUCUGGAGUGAAAGUCUGAGGCCCAACCCUGGAAUUGCAUUUGAAACUGUGUAACUGGAGUACAGGAGGGGCAGGCGGAAUUCCUGGUGUAGCGGUGAAAUGCGUAGAUAUCAGGAGGAACCCCGGUGGCGAAGGCGGCCUGCUGGACUGAAACUGACGUUGAGGCUCGAAAGUGUGGGGAGCAAACAGGAUUAGAUACCCUAGUAGUC
rnacentral:rRNA from 1 species